rnacentral:lncRNA from 1 species
CUCCUGCUUUCUCUCUGAAGUGAUUCCAUGUAAGAGAUCCAGCACCUCCCAUCCUGUGUAUCUUUUUUUCUCACUGUCUGAUGGCUCUUGAGCCUGCUAUGCUGCCAUGGGAACCUGCGGGAGACAGUUCUGGCUACAUAACAGCAUAGAGUCAACUUCCCUUCAAGACAGAAGGGAAGGGAUGGAGUCUCACUCUUGUUGGCCAGGCUGGAGUGCAAUGGCGCAAUCUCUGCUCAUUUCAAACUCCGCCUUCUGGGAUGAAGUGAUUCUUCAGCCUCAGCCUCCCGAGUAGCUGGGAUUGCAGGUGCUCGCCACCAGGCCCAGCUAUUUUUUUAUUUUUAGUAGAGAUGGGAUUUCACUAUGUUAGUCAGGCUAGUCUUGAAUUUCUGUCCUCAGGCUAUCCACCUGCCUUGGCCUUCCAAAGUGCUGGGAUUACAGGCGUAAGCCACGGUGCCUGGCCAAGAAGAAUAAAAUUAUUACAACAGCUAGAUUGAUUCAGAAAAAAGACAGAAAUCACAAUUUGUCAGUGUCACAAAUAAAAUAAUGAACACCAAAAUAAAAAUGAGAUAAUAUAAGCAAAUUAUUUCAAUAAAGCAUACAACUUACAUGCAAUGGUAAAAUUUUUGAAAAAUACAAAUUUAACUUAAGACAUAAAUGACAAAAUUUCUACAAGAAAAGUCUUCGCAGCAUUCAUGUAGGCCAGGAUUUUUUAAAUGUACAAAAACAAUAAACCAUAAAAAAUUAAUACACUGGAGUUCUUCCAAAUUAAUAUAUUUUGAUAUUAAAAUGACAUUAUUAAGGAAAUAAGUUUUUGAAAUGGAAGCAACUGAUUGGUAUAAAAUAUGUGCAAUGUUGUAUUCAGAAUAUAAUGUAGAAUAAUUACAGUUUAAUACUAGAAAACAAACACUAAACAAAAAUGGGCAAAUGUUUUGACAAGGCAUUUAAAUCUCUCUCUCUC